rnacentral:rRNA from 1 species
UGAGGAAUAUUGGUCAAUGGUCGCAAGACUGAACCAGCUAUGCCGCGUGCAGGAAGACGGUCCUAUGGAUUGUAAACUGCUUUUAUACAGGAAGAAACCCUCCCACGUGUGGGAGCUUGACGGUACUGUAGGAAUAAGGAUCGGCUAACUCCGUG